UGCGACACUAGUCAUGCUAAUUGUUUGCCGUGGGAUCCCUUUAAAAGCCCGGCACUGCUGCAGCCAGGGCCAAACACUUGAAAUAUUGCCCUUAUCGUGCGUCGCAGUGUGCCGUAUUUGGGGUACCACUCAAUCGGUGGGUGCGCGUCCUUGUUUAAGUUACCGGCUGCUUUGCUGUGUUGCGGUGUCAGCACUUAGCAACGGGAGUUCACCUCUCUUCGUCUUCGGCCGUGGUGGGUCGCUUACCGGAAGUACACAAGAUCAAGGCUGCAUUUUGGUCACCGGCUGCUGUUUUGUCAUCAAUAACCCUUUUAGUUUUAUGACUCUUAUUUAGCGAAUGCUCUAUCGCGGCGGCACCGUACGAGGGUGGCCGGAGCAUCUGAGUGGUAACGUGUGAUCGUGUGUGUUGGUGCGUGUGUGCGUGCAGGUGAUUGUGUGAGUUAGC